GAGAGCCAAAUGAAUCGAAAGGUUCAUGUUUGGUUCGGGAAGGGAUCAUGAAAUUUUUAA
rfam:Gossypium arboreum cultivar AKA8401 contig_62786_1, whole genome shotgun sequence.